rnacentral:lncRNA from 1 species
UUGGAUAUUCUUUAUACUAUUGUUGAAGGUGAUUCUAAAGCCGUCCGACGCAUGUCAACCGUUUAAACUCCACUUUCUUUCAAUCUCCACAGUAAUAACUCAAAAUCUGAGGUUGUAGCCCGUUUUAAGCUCCUCCCCACGUUCCUCACCACCUAUCGUUUUCUCCUCCCACGUUCAACAGGUUUUUAGUUUCCUUCCAAAGACUCCUUUGAUCAUCAUGAUAUGGAGGCGGGUAACUACCCUAACCACGACCUAGAAAUCGGACCUAUAUAAUGAUCCGACUAUGUUUAAUGUUUCUAUCUUUCACUCAGUGUAUUGACUUGCUUCAUUUGAUGUCAACGUUUAUGGAUUCAAGUUCGGCUGAAAAUUGUUCGGCUAAGCUAACUUUAUCGACUUAUGCUUAAAUUUUCAAUGUUUCAAUGAGUUUCUUCAAUUAAUUCUUUUUGUGCACAAUUAUCGAUAAAGAAUUUCGUCUAAAUAGUCUUCAACUAAGGUAAAAUCUUUACAGUUAGUUAUCUCUAUGUUUUAAAUAUUAUCCUAUGUCUAAAAAUCCUCAUGAAUAACAAUUAUCCUCAUAAUAUUCUGUAAUGUUCGGAUACUGUUCAAUGUUUCAAUGCUACACUCAGUUCGGUUCCUUCAAUUUCUUGAUUUGAUUCCGUCAUAUGAACACUUUUGGCUACAAUUUCGUUUGAAAAGUCUUAAACAAAGGUAAAUUCUUUAAAAUUAGUUUGUUGUUAUCAAUUUCAUUUUUGUUUAAAGAAUGUCAUUCUUUGUGGGACUGAUAAGCGGCCUUAUAGUGGGAUAACACUCUUUGUUGUAUUCGUUUGGUCCAGGAAUGGUCAAUUGAUGAUGCGUACUGCAGACACGCACAAGAAAAAGAGGCGCAAACAUGGAGAUUUUGUUGAUGCCUUAAUCGCUUUUGAAGAUGCAUAUGGGAACUGAAGUGGAUAUCAACCAAGGGUAUGAACUGAUUUUAUUCCUUAUUUUCUGUCCCUUGAGGACAGUUUAUUUUCAUUUUUUUCAAUGUAUUGAAGAGAUGGAGAGAAGCGUGGAUGUUACAUGUGCAAUUAUUUUGUCCACCAAGUGUUUGAUGAAAGUCCAUAUUUGUUUACUUAUUAUAUUGUUCCAAAUUGAUGUUAUUUACUGGCUUCUAUGUAUGUAUUUGUGUGUACAUGCUCUUAGAAAAAUAUGGUUGAUAUAAAAAGGUGUGAGUUUGUGUUAUUUUUGUUCUUUCAGUAAAUUAUGUCAUUCUUUAAUGGAAUAAUUUUGAAGCCUGUUCAUGGUAUUCGA